AUUUGUGCUCAGCAAUGCUUGAGCGCAUGAAUUUGAUGCCAACAGGAGCAGAUGGGACAAGAUAAGCAAUUUCAGGACAGGAAAUAUUUUGAAGCUGUUCUCUGGCAUUGAAUUUAACAAAACUAACUUCAGUUCCUUGGGUAUACAACUUGUUAGGACUUGACCAUAUCCAUGGGCUAUGAUUUCUGGGUGACUGGACCAACAUAGAGUAUUUUCAUUGUGGCCACAUGCGUCAGGUGGUGUAAAGUUGAUCGAAGAUGGAAGAGCACGUCUGAACUAAUAGCAAUAUUGCUCCAGCUUAAUACUAAUUGUAAAGAUAAUUUUCAUAUAUUAUCAUCAAUAGAGCUUGUACAUGAGAUGAUACGUUGGCUGAAAGUGUUUGUGGCAUGAACAAAGAUUACCGAAGCCAGAAGCAUAGCCAAACCA